rnacentral:rRNA from 1 species
AGCAGACCGAGUGAGCUUGGGGUGCUCGAAGAGAACCUGGACACAGGUGCUGCAUGGCUGUCGCCAGCUCGUGUCGUGAGAUGUUGGGUUAAGUCCCGCAACGAGCGCAACCCUUGUCAUUAGUUGCUACAUUUAGUUGGGCACUCUAAUGAGACUGCCGGUGACAAACCGGAGGAAGGUGGGGAUGACGUCAAGUCCUCAUGGCCCUUAUGGGUAGGGCUUCACACGUCAUACAAUGGUCGGUACAGAGGGCAGCAAAGCCGCGAGGUGGAGCCAAUCUCACAAAGCCGAUCGUAGUCCGGAUUGGAGUCUGCAACUCGACUCCAUGAAGUCGGAAUCGCUAGUAAUCGCGGAUCAGCAUGUCGCGGUGAAUACGUUCCCGGGUCUUGUACACACCGCCCGUCACACCAUGGGAGUGGGUUUCACCAGAAGCAGGUAGCGUAACCGCAAGGGGCGCGCCUACCACGGUGAGAUUCAUGACUGGGGUGAAGUCGUCGUAACAAGGUAACCGUAA